rnacentral:rRNA from 1 species
UGCAGCAGAGCUCCGACCUUCGGGGACGAGCGCUUUUAUUAGACCAAAACCAAUCGGACCUCGUGUCCGUCCUUUGUGGUGACUCUGUAUAACUUUGGGCUGAUCGCACGGGCCUGUCCCGGCGACGUAUCUUUCAAGUGUCUGCCUUAUCAACUUUCGAUGGUAGGUUACGCGCCUACCAUGGUCGUAACGGGUAACGGGGAAUCAGGGUUCGAUUCCGGAGAGGGAGCCUGAGAAACGGCUACCACAUCCAAGGAAGGCAGCAGGCGCGCAAAUUACCCACUCCCAGAACGGGGAGGUAGUGACGAAAAAUAACAAUACGGGACUCUUUUGAGACCCCGUAAUUGGAAUGAGUACACUCUAAAUCCUUUAACGAGGAUCCAUUGGAGGGUAAGUCUGGUGCCAGCAACCGCGGUAAUUCCAGCUCCAAUAGCGUAUAUUAAAGUUGUUGCGGUUAAAAAGCUCGUAGUUGGAUCUCAGUUCCAGACGGGUGGUCCUCCUACCGGUGGUUACUGCCUGUUCUGAACAGUCAGCCGGUUUCUCUUGAUGAUCUUCACCGGUUGUCUUGGGUGACCGGCAAGUUUACUUUGAAAAAAUUAGAGUGCUCAAAGCAGGCGUGACGCCUGAAUAAUGGUGCAUGGAAUAAUGGAAUAGGACCUCGGUUCUAUUUUGUUGGUUUUCGGAACACGAGGUAAUGAUUAAGAGGGACAGACGGGGGCAUUCGUAUUGCGACGCUAGAGGUGAAAUUCUUGGACCGUCGCAAGACGAACUACUGCGAAAGCAUUUGCCAAGAAUGUUUCCAUUAAUCAAGAACGAAAGUUAGAGGUUCGA